rnacentral:rRNA from 1 species
GGAGUUAGCCGGUGCUUCUUCUGUGAGUGAUGUCCUUCCUGCCGGCUAUUAACCCGCAGGCCUUCUUCCUCACUGAAAGUGCUUUACAACCCGAAGGCCUUCUUCACACACGCGGCAUGGCUGGAUCAGGGUUGCCCCCAUUGUCCAAUAUUCCCCACUGCUGCCUCCCGUAGGAGUCUGGGCCGUGUCUCAGUCCCAGUGUGGCUGAUCAUCCUCUCAGACCAGCUACGGAUCGUCGCCUUGGUGAGCCGUUACCUCACCAACCAGCUAAUCCGACAUAGGCUCAUCCGAUAGCGCGAGGCCCGAAGGUCCCCCGCUUUCCCCCGUAGGGCGUAUGCGGUAUUAGCCUGGGUUUCCCCAGGUUAUCCCCCACUACCGGGCAGAUUCCUAUGCAUUACUCACCCGUCCGCCGCUCGCCACCAGGGAGCAAGCUCCCCGUGCUGCCGCUCGACUUGCNUGUGUAGCNCGCCGCCAGCGUCAUCUGAGCAGAAUACAACUCUCGA